AAUCAAUUAUUUGUUGAUGAAGUUUUAUUUAGUAAACUUUUGUUAAAGCUUCGCUACUAUUUGUUAAACUGGCCAGCCAAUAUUCCGGAAUCCGGAUUUACUGAAGGAAUUCAGAAUCUGAUAUCGUUAAAUUAGUUUUGGUGUACGAUUACCGAAGUCGAAAAGUGUCUGAUUCCGAUAAACUUAGUGCCCUGCUCUCGAUGACUACCACUCUAUUCGAACUGCUGAUGGCCGUUCCCGCCAGCAACCGUUCACGAUUCCCGGAACUGUUACCGACGAACAAUUUCUGAAAGUGAAAAGCUGAUGGUAGCUGUACCCAAUAUGUGUCAUUUGUUGCCUGCCCACUGCUCGCUGUUCCUGCCAUUCCAGUUAUCCUGUGCAACCAUCAAGGUAGUUGCUGCAAGUAUUCUCUCCCGGUCCGAAUUGUUCCUGCCACCCACGCCGUUGGUUGAAAUAAACGAAAUGAUGAAUCAAAGAAAUGAUUGUAUCAUUGAAGUUGAGUUCAGUUUAUUUUCAAUGAUCACAAAAACACAGCUUGUUCAUAUUGCAUUUCUGACUAAUGUUUUAGGUUGCAUUUUGAUCCGAUUAAAAAUACCUAUUUUUGAGUUUUAACAUCCGAGGUGACAUUAGGUAAAAAUCACCCACUGAGAUAAUUUUGUACGAUAACCCAAAUUUGAGUACUAGGCUAUUUACUCAAAUUUGGGGUAACUCACGAAAGUGCCAAGUUGGGUAGAAAGAACUCGAAUUUGAGUACUUCGUUCUCUCCGUAUACGUGUGUUCAAAUGUCACUAAGCUCUAUAACAGCAAUGUAAAUAUGUGCUGUACAAUGUAACGGUUGUAACGGGUGGAAAUUUUGACGUACAGCUUGCUGUAGAGCCGCUCUUUUCUAUUUUAAUUACCUAUGGGACAAUAAUGGGUAGCAUUCACAAUUAUUCGGUUAUAUAGCUACCCAUAUCGAUUUAUUUGUAGUAUAAAAGGAACAUCCUGGACCACAAGAGCUAUUAUUUUUGUCUUCAUCGAUCGGACGAAGCAGAAUCUAAAUCAUUGAGUGUCUACCGGGGAGCCACCGCUUCGGGCUUGCAGAUGGCAAUUCGUAUGUCUAAUUUUGUAGAAAUGUAUCUGCAUUUGUUCCAUGGAUUCUUCGAGCGCAACAUUCUACGGGCAAAAGAGGGAUCAGCACAAUUAGAUCCUAAUUUGUAAUGAGUUCCCCUUUCAAAAUGGCUGAACCAACUGAACACUGUGUAAUUGAAAUGUCUUUUUGUACAAGUUGAAAAAAUAUAAAAUUUUAAUCAAAUACCUACUAUUUACCGAGAAACGUUUGUAAUAAAAUGAGAUCUUUGUGAACCCUA